UGGGGAAUUUUGGACAAUGGGCGCAAGCCUGAUCCAGCAAUGCCGCGUGCAGGAUGAAGGCCUUCGGGUUGUAAACUGCUUUUGUACGGAGCGAAAAGGUCUGCCCUAAUACGGUGGGCUCAUAACGGUACCGUAAGAAUAAGCACCGGCUAACUACGUGCCAGCAGCCGCGGUAAUACGUGGGGUGCGAGCGUUAAUCGGAAUUACUGGGCGUAAAGCGUGCGUAGGCGGUUAGACAAGACAGAUGUGAAAGCCCAGGGCUCAACGGGGGACCUGCACUUGUGACUGUAGAGCUAGAGUACGGUAGAGGGGGAUGGAAUUCCGGGUGUAGCAGUGGAAUGCGUAGAUAUGCGGAGGAACACCGAUGGCGAAGGCAGGCCCCUGGGCCUGUACUGACGCUGAGGAACGAAAGCGUGGGGAGCGAACA
rnacentral:rRNA from 1 species